rnacentral:rRNA from 1 species
AGAGUUUGAUCCUGGCUCAGGAUGAACGCUGGCGGCGUGCCUAACACAUGCAAGUCGAACGGACUUACAUUGAAGCCUAGCGAUAUGUAAGUUAGUGGCGGACGGGUGAGUAACGCGUGGGUAACCUGCCUUGUACUGGGGGACAACAGUUGGAAACGACUGCUAAUACCGCAUAAGCGCACAGCUUCGCAUGAAGCAGUGUGAAAAACUCCGGUGGUACAAGAUGGACCCGCGUCUGAUUAGCUGGUUGGUGAGGUAACGGCCCACCAAGGCGACGAUCAGUAGCCGGCCUGAGAGGGUGAACGGCCACAUUGGGACUGAGACACGGCCCAAACUCCUACGGGAGGCAGCAGUGGGGAAUAUUGCACAAUGGGGGAAACCCUGAUGCAGCGACGCCGCGUGAGUGAAGAAGUAUUUCGGUAUGUAAAGCUCUAUCAGCAGGGAAGAAAAUGACGGUACCUGACUAAGAAGCACCGGCUAAAUACGUGCCAGCAGCCGCGGUAAUACGUAUGGUGCAAGCGUUAUCCGGAUUUACUGGGUGUAAAGGGAGCGCAGGCGGUGCGGCAAGUCUGAUGUGAAAGCCCGGGGCUCAACCCCGGUACUGCAUUGGAAACUGUCGUACUAGAGUGUCGGAGGGGUAAGUGGAAUUCCUAGUGUAGCGGUGAAAUGCGUAGAUAUUAGGAGGAACACCAGUGGCGAAGGCGGCUUGCUGGGCCUUAACUGACGCUGAGGCUCGAAAGCGUGGGGAGCAAACAGGAUUAGAUACCCUGGUAGUCCACGCCGUAAACG